rnacentral:lncRNA from 1 species
GCCAGUCCACGCCGCUUCUCCGUCGUUGGAGCACCGCCGGCCUUGUGCAGCCCCGCGCCGCUGCCUGUUGCCGCCGCUGCGGCUCAAAUCCCGGUCGAGCCGCUUGUCCUCCGCCACUGGUGAGGCCUCCCGUGAGCUCGCCGUCACCUCCUCUCUCGAUUCCCAUCCUCGCCGUGGCCACCCGCUCACCGGAGCGUCGCCGAUUUGGCCGGCCAGAGCCGCCGCAGGCCUGGGGAAG